GACGAACGCUGGCGGCGUGCCUAAUACAUGCAAGUCGAGCGAACCAAUAGGAGCUUGCUCCUGUUGGUUAGCGGCGGACGGGUGAGUAACACGUGGGCAACCUGCCUGUAAGACUGGGAUAACACCGGGAAACCGGUGCUAAUACCGGAUAAUCUUUUUCCUCUCACGAGGAAAAACUGAAAGUCGGUUUCGGCUGACACUUACAGAUGGGCCCGCGGCGCAUUAGCUAGUUGGUGAGGUAACGGCUCACCAAGGCGACGAUGCGUAGCCGACCUGGGAGGGUGAUCGGCCACACUGGGACUGAGACACGGCCCAGACUCCUACGGGAGGCAGCAGUAGGGAAUCUUCCACAAUGGACGAAAGUCUGAUGGAGCAACGCCGCGUGAGCGAUGAAGGCCUUCGGGUCGUAAAGCUCUGUUGUUAGGGAAGAACAAGUACCGGAGUAACUGCCGGUGCCUUGACGGUACCUAACCAGAAAGCCACGGCUAACUACGUGCCAGCCGCCGCGGUAA
rnacentral:rRNA from 1 species